AUUGAACGCUGGCGGCAGGCCUAACACAUGCAAGUCGAGCGGAUGAAGGGAGCUUGCUCCUGGAUUCAGCGGCGGACGGGUGAGUAAUGCCUAGGAAUCUGCCUGGUAGUGGGGGAUAACGUCCGGAAACGGGCGCUAAUACCGCAUACGUCCUGAGGGAGAAAGUGGGGGAUCUUCGGACCUCACGCUAUCAGAUGAGCCUAGGUCGGAUUAGCUAGUUGGUGGGGUAAAGGCCUACCAAGGCGACGAUCCGUAACUGGUCUGAGAGGAUGAUCAGUCACACUGGAACUGAGACACGGUCCAGACUCCUACGGGAGGCAGCAGUGGGGAAUAUUAGAAAAUGGGCGAAAGCCUGAUCCAGCCAUGCCGCGUGUGUGAAGAAGGUCUUCGGAUUGUAAAGCACUUUAAGUUGGGAGGAAGGGCAGUAAGUUAAUACCUUGCUGUUUUGACGUUACCAACAGAAUAAGCACCGGCUAACUUCGUG
rnacentral:rRNA from 1 species